GAAAGUCCGGGCUUCACAGGGCAGGAUGCCGGAUAACGUCCGGUGGAGGUGACUCCAAGGCCAGUGCAACAGAAAUAUACCGCCAGAUUCGUCUGGUAAGGGUGGAAAGGCAGUUUAAGAGACUACCGUCCGUCCGGUAACGGGCGGAGCCAUGUAAACCCCAUCCGAAGCAAGACCAAAACGAAAGCGACAGGCUUGCCCGGCCUGCUUUCAGGUGGGUCGCUUGACGCGGCUGGCAACAGCCGUGCUAGAUAGAUGAUCAUUCACGACAUAACCCGGCUUAUCGUCCUGCUUACAGC
rnacentral:RNase_P_RNA from 1 species